UUUAUGACGCCACCGCCCGCAUCAUUCAUACCCUACCUUCCCACUCCCACAUCUCUCUCUUUCUCUCUCUCUCUCUCGCUGGAAUUCAAUCCCUUCGUACUCAUCCAAGCAAUUGCGAAUGCGAGUUCUGAAGCGGAGCGAUCCAAGGAACAGUCUCUCUCUCUCUCUCUCUCUCUCUCGCUCUCUGUUUUGCCAGCAAAAACUGCACUAAAAAGCUAGGAAUGCAAUGAGGAUCAUGUGAUCUGUUCCUCCCCAAAGCUGCUUCUCUUCUCUCUUUCCCCAAGGCUGCUUCCUUUUUCUCCCCCCCCUCCCCACCCCCUUUACUCUUCGAGAUGUCAUCAGGCGCUUCCAGGUUCAUCAAGUGUGUGACCGUCGGAGAUGGAGCCGUCGGCAAGACAUGCUUGCUCAUCUGCUACACCAGCAACACGUUCCCAACUGAUUACGUGCCUACCGUGUUCGAUAACUUCAGUGCCAAUGUGAUUGCGGAGGGAAGAACCGUGAAUCUGGGCCUCUGGGAUACUGCAGGACAAGAGGAUUACAACAGACUGCGACCACUGAGCUACCGAGGUGCGGAUGUCUUUGUGCUGGCUUUCUCAUUGGUGAGCCGAGCCAGCUACGAGAAUGUUCUGAAGAAGUGGAUGCCUGAGCUGCAGCAUUAUGCUCCUGGAGUCCCUGUGGUCUUGGUUGGUACUAAGUUAGAUCUUCGUGAAAAUAAGCACUAUUUGGCAGAUCAUCCUGGGAUGUUGCCUGUUACUACCGUACAGGGAGAGGAACUUCGUAAGCAGAUUGGUGCUGCAUAUUAUGUUGAGUGUAGCUCAAGGACUCAGCAGAAUGUCAAGGCAGUCUUUGAUGCUGCCAUCAAAAUAGUUAUUCAGCCUCCUUCAAAACACAAGGAGAAAAGGAAGAGAAAAACAAGACGCGGUUGCUCAAUUCUGAAUAUUCCGUGUGUGAGGAGACUUGUGUGUUUUAAGUGAAGGCACUUGCAAUAAGAAAUGACUGAUCUCGUUCACAUGUUUGCUUUGCUCUCCUGACCCGAAGACUCGGAGGGCUGCAUCAGCUGUGAGUUCGAUAGUGUGGAAGAUUUUGUAAAUUGUAAAUGUUUGAUCUGCUGGUAUCCAAGGAAAAACAAACCGCACGCCUAAAGAAGUGGAUAUAUAUGGUGUUUGGGUUGCAAGUUGUGCUUUUUCACCGAUACAAACGGUGUCUCUCUCGACUGGGACGACUGGGAAGGUUGACUAAGCCGAGUAAAGAGAUUUCACAGAAGAAUAUGGUGGAUCAAUCAGCAUCAUCUGAUGAUGCUGAAAUUUAAGAAAGAGGCCGAGAUUAGAGGUAAAAUUGAAGAACUAUCACAUCAUUCAUUCAUUCAUAAGAUGCAUUCAUCAUUUUAUGAACGUCAACUAAUCCUGAUUGUUGGUGCCUGGGAGAUGGUAGGUAUUUGAUCAAUCAAUUUUUUUUUUUUAAUCUUUUCUCUUUUAUUUAUCAUCCAUAAGAUCACUGUUCAUGAACCAUCAACGAUCAUGAUUCUAUUUUCUCAUCACAAUCACGAGUACAUCAACUUCCAAAACUCCUUUUCAUUGCAUCUUAGUUUCUGGCGUAAGAUUUACGCUUGAUUAAGUUCUUCAAAUUCCCAAGAUCAUCAGGGAAGACAGUAUCCUGCUAAUAUCCUUGUGCGAGCUCGAUUGUCGUAGUAGUACUUCUUCCGUGCUUCAAGCGAUAGAGCUACUUUCCAAAGGAUGAGAUAUGUUUUUUUUCGGUCUUCUUUACGUAACUCGAGAUAAGAAGGGUACAUAAAUUGAUUCUUUCUUUUCGGAUCCUGCUGCUGC